rnacentral:rRNA from 1 species
UACGGAGGGUGCAAGCGUUAUCCGGAUUCACUGGGUUUAAAGGGUGCGUAGGUGGGCAGGUAAGUCAGUGGGGAAAUCUCCGGGCUUAACCCGGAAACUGCCAUUGAUACUAUCUGUCUUGAAUACCGUGGAGGUGAGCGGAAUAUGUCAUGUAGCGGUGAAAUGCUUAGAUAUGACAUAGAACACCAAUUGCGAAGGCAGCUCACUACACGAAUAUUGACACUGAGGCACGAAAGCGUGGGGAUCAAACAGG